CGCUGCCCUGUGGCCUUUGCCAUUGCGGAUGCUGCUGUUGCUCGUGAUGGAGCUGCUGCUGUGAGCUGUGGUGCUCGACAUCGAUGGACGGCGCUGCAAGCGCAACCUCGGUGUCGAAUAGCUCGCCUACGCCAUGUAUUCCACUUGGAGAUAUUGUGAAGGAGCUGCAGAUGAUUCUGCUGGUGUGCUCAAGAUGUGGUGCGGCUGGGAUAAGUUGGGAUGUGCUAGAAGAGCUGGUAGGACAGCUGCUGGGCUAUUUAUAUACAGCUGAACUAUUCAUGUGCUCGUGACAACACAGAGGUUGCAUGUGUGUGUGAGCUGCUAGGUAGGUUGCUCCCUCUCCAUGUGCAGGUUGCAAACUUGACUUUGUUUGCCUCAUUUGCAAGGCACGGCUCAACCUUGUACUUAUCCCUUGUUGGAAAUUAUUUGAGAUACAACCAAGUGUAUAUCUCCUAUUGGUCCCCUGUGACUAAAUGGAUUCAAUUGAUGAGCUUAAAUAUUGAUAGCUCAAGUAUUAAUUAGACUUUGCUUAA